rnacentral:tRNA from 1 species
AAAAACUUAGUUAAAUAAUAAUAUCAAUUUGUCAAAUUGGAGUAAAUGAAUAAGUUAGUUUUUU